GUUCAGACGAUUUCUUGUCAAUUUUCAUAGAAAGACCUUUGUUACCAUCCUGAAUUUCCCGGAGGAGAGUAGCCAGUAUGUCGGCAGGUUCGCAAGAGUCUGGAACUGUCGUCUGAGUUAUGAGGGCUAAUGCUAAUCUUGCUAGCUGUAGCGUUAUCAUUAUCUUGGGAAUCAACAACGUUUUGGUCGUCCUUCUUGCCUCUCGGUCGGAGGUCCAUGGCUCUUUGGGAAGCUCCUCAUGGCUAACAACAACAACAUGCCGCUGGGUUGGUUUCAGCUGAAUGCUUCCACCAGUACGAUAAGGACCUGAGCCCUAGGACCAUGCCUCAGGACUACCUGGUAUGAUGACUCCUUGCUGUCCCCAGUCCACCUGGCCGUGCUGCUGCUCCAGUUUCAACUGUUCUGCCUGCGGCUAUGGAACCCUGACCUGUUCACCGGACGUGCUUGUUGCACCCUCGACAACUACUAUGAUUAUUAUUAUUUGACCAUGCUGGUCAUUUAUGAACAUUUUAACAUUUUAACAUUUUGACCAUGUUCUGUUAUAAUAUCCACCCUGCACAGCCAGAAGAGGACUGGCCACCCCUCAUAGCCUGGUUCCUCUCUAGGUUUCUUCCUAGGUUUUUGGCCUUUCUAGGGAGUUUUUCCUAGGGAGUUUUUCCUAGCCACCGUGCUUCUUUCACAUGCUUUGCUUGCUGUUUGGGGUUUUAGGCUGGGUUUCUGUACAGCACUUUGAGAAUAUCAGCUGAUGUAC
rnacentral:lncRNA from 1 species